rnacentral:lncRNA from 1 species
AAGAAGCUACUGCUGCUGCCAUUCUGCAUUGGGAAGCUCAUCAAACACAUCAUGGGUAUUAUAGGACUUGCCACAUUGGUCUUUGCUAGCUUCAAUGCCUGGAAUGCAAACUUCGGGUCCCUUGUUAGUAGAAAGAUGCACAGAUGCGGCUCUGUUGACUCAGUUGUUUAAAUACAUAUUGUCAAACAAAAUAUUUGCAGCACUGAUGCCAAGUUCCUCCUGACAUUCACAAUAAUAUUGAAUUUGACUCAACCAAACAAGUGUGACAAUAUGUGGAAUAAAAUUUCAUCUAGGUUUUUA